rnacentral:piRNA from 1 species
UGUGACGCGAAAACUAAGUAAUGUCAUUA